CCUACGGGAGGCAGCAGUGGGGAAUAUUGGACAAUGGGGGCAACCCUGAUCCAGCAAUACCGCGUGUGUGAAGAAGGCCUUCGGGUUGUAAAGCACUUUAGGUUGGGAAGAAGGUAUGUAGUUUAAGAGAUGACAUAUUUGACUGUACCAACAGAAUAAGCACCGGCUAACUCUGUGCCAGCAGCCGCGGUAAUACAGAGGGUGCAAGCGUUAAUCGGAGUUACUGGGCGUAAAGGGCGCGUAGGCGGUCUAUUAAGUGAGAUGUGAAAGCCCUGGGCUUAACCUAGGAACUGCAUCUUAUACUGGUAGACUGGAGUACUGUAGAGGGUAGUGGAAUUUCCGGUGUAGCGGUGAAAUGCGUAGAGAUCGGAAGGAACACCAGUGGCGAAGGCGGCUACCUGGACAGAUACUGACGCUGAGGCGCGAGAGCGUGGGGAGCA
rnacentral:rRNA from 1 species